rnacentral:lncRNA from 1 species
UAAUACCGAAGAAAUGUCAUAUAUUUAGACUUGAUGAACAAGAAUUAAAGAAGCAAAGAUCUACUGACAGAUCUUUUAUACAUAUCUCAUUAUAUAAGAUAAAUAAGGAGUUUAUCAAAAGAAUUCUCAAAAAACUCCUUUUAACUUGCGAAUCCAUUAGUCUUCACGGCAGCAUUUGGUGCAGACUGGGGGCAUCACCUCUAUGUUGCAGUCACAGCAAGCUUUUUGGCAUGUGCUCGUGCAUGCUGCAAAUACAAAUAAAUAAAUAUUAAAAGCAAAAAUGAUAAUGUCAAAUAAGUAGCAAAUACAUACCAAAAGUAUUUUUUAGAAAUUUUAUCUUAAACCAUGUCGUGACGUUUCUAUGACUAGUAAAAAUACUAAUUAAAGCUAAAAUAAAUAGUUUAAAGUUAAAAUAAUUUAUAAAUAUAAAAAGAUUUAUUUUAUUUAAAAUUGACUUAAAAGAAAGAGCGCUAUAUAAAAAGAAAGGAAAUAGAAUUGUACGGAAGAUAAUAACAUCUAAUGCUCGUCCAUGCUGCAGACGGCUGACGACAAGCGGCUUUGGGGAAUUAGCUCCGGCUUCAACCUCCACACAAGACAUAGACGCCAACAGAAGAAGAAUAGAGGCAAUUACUAAGAACUUUGCCAUGGUUUCACCAAUCUAAAAAUGAAAAACAACCUGGAAAUUAUAAUUUAUA